rnacentral:rRNA from 1 species
AGCUUUUUGAAUUUAUAAAAGGUUUUUUCUGCCCGGUGUAAAUAUUUUAUUAACGGCCGCGGUACUUUGACCGUGCGAAGGUAGCAUAAUCAUUUGCCUUAUAAUUGAAGGCUGGAAUGAAUGGAUUAACAAGAAAAAAGCUGUCUUUACUUUUUUUAUAGAAUUUUUUUUAUGAGUGAAGAAACUCAUUAUUAGGAAUUAGACGAGAAGACCCUAUUGAGCUUUACUAUUUAUUAAAAUUUUUGUAAUUUUUUUUUAAAAGUGUUUUAAAAAUAAUAGUUUAAUUGGGGCGAUUAAGGAAGGAUAAUUUAUUUUAAUCUUCCUUUUUCUUUUUAUUUAUAAGUUCUUUUUGAUCCUUUUUUAAAGAUUAAAAGAAUUAGUUACCAUAGGGAUAACAGCGUAAUCUUUUUUUAGAGUUCUUAUCGAAAAAAGGGUUUGCGACCUCGAUGUUGGACUAAGAUAUCCGAAAGGUGUAGAAGCUUUUUUGGUAAGUCUGUUCGACUUUUAAAAUCUUACAUGAUCUGAGUUCAGACCGGUGUAA